CCUACGGGAGGCAGCAGUGAGGAAUAUUGGUCAAUGGACGAGAGUCUGAACUAGCCAAGUAGCGUGAAGGAUGACUGCCCUAUGGGUUGUAAACUUCUUUUAUAUGGGAAUAAAAUGUUCCACGUGUGGGAUUUUGUAUGUACCAUAUGAAUAAGGAUCGGCUAACUCCGUGCCAGCAGCCGCGGUAAUACGGAGGAUCCGAGCGUUAUCCGGAUUUAUUGGGUUUAAAGGGAGCGUAGGUGGAUUGUUAAGUCAGUUGUGAAAGUUUGCGGCUCAACCGUAAAAUUGCAGUUGAAACUGGCAGUCUUGAGUACAGUAGAGGUGGGCGGAAUUCGUGGUGUAGCGGUGAAAUGCUUAGAUAUCACGAAGAACUCCGAUUGCGAAGGCAGUUCACUGGACUGCAACUGACACUGAGGCUCGAAAGUGUGGGUAUCAAACAGGAUUAGAUACCCGAGUAGUC
rnacentral:rRNA from 1 species